rnacentral:tRNA from 1 species
GGGGCCGUGGGGUAGCCUGGUAUCCUUCCAGCCUGGGGCGCUGGUAACCCGAGUUCAAAUCUCGGCGGCCCCA